rnacentral:lncRNA from 1 species
CAGGGUAAGUGCUCAAUAAAGAACUGACUGGAACAGUCAAACCUGGGAAGCCAAAGGGAACAUUCUGUAGUCAUGUGUAGCCCUUCAGAGCUCUGCCACACCAGUUGGUCCAAUCUGGACAGAAAAACAGAGAUACUUACUAGGACCAUGACCCAAUUCUCCCAGCUCCUCAUACAAAGUUAUAAAAUAUGUAUCUUCUUCAUGAAAAUUAAAAGCUUGUGCUUCAAAGGACACUUGAAAAGUAAACCCAACAAGAAUGGAAUACAAUAUAUGCAAAUCAUAUCUGAUAAGGUACUUUUAAAAUCCAGAAUAAAUAAUUAAUAGUUCAAUAUAAAGUAACAACCCAAUCUAAAAAUGGGCAAAGAAUAUGAAUAGAUGUUUCUCCAAAGAAGGUAUAUAAUCUGCCAAUAAGACACGAAAAGAUGCUCAAUAUCCUUACUCAUUAGGGAAAUGUGAAUCAAAAUCACUGAGAUACUACUUCCCCCCCAACUAGGAUUGCAAUAAGAAGGAGGAAAGAAACGACUGUAGAUUAGGAUGUGAAGAAAUUGGAACCACUGCAGAGCUAGCAGUAAUAUAAAAUGGUAUAGCCACCUUUGGAAAAUGGUUUGGAAAUUCUUCAAAAAUAUAAACAAACAGGGCCAGGUGUGAUGGUACAUGCCUAUAAUACCAGCAUCUAAGGCAGGAGGAUCACAAGUUCAAGGCCAGCCUCAGCAACUUAGUGACAACUUGUCUCAAAAUACAGCUCUGGGAACAUAACUCAGUGGUAAAUCACUCCUAGAUUCAAUUCCCAAUACCACACAAAAAAAUGUUAAAUAUGCUGGGAGGGCAGCUCAGUGGUUCAACAUGUGCUUAUUAGCAUGCACAUUUGUAGCCCUGAGUUCAAUUCCUACAUUAAAAAAAAAAAAAAGUUAAACACGGUGUUACCAUAUGAACUAGAAAUUACAUUUCUAGAUAUACCCAAAAGAAUUUCAAACAUGUCUACACAAAAAUGUUCACAGCAGCACUACCCAUAAGAGGGUCACCAAUU